rnacentral:rRNA from 1 species
AUCUUUAAAGUUAAAAAUUUUGGCGGUAUUUUAAUCUAUUCAGAGGAACCUGUUUUUGAAUCGAUAAUCCACGAUUAAAAGUACUUUAUCUUUAAAUUUAUAUAUCGUCGUAGUUUGAAUAUUUUAAAAUAAAAUAUUUUCAGAUCAAGAUGUAGUUUAUGAUAAAGUUAAAAUGGGUUACAAUAGAAAUAUAAAAUAAACUGGAUUUGAAAGUAAGCUCUAAAAUAUGUACAUAUCGCCCGUCGCUUUCGUUAUAAAAUGAAAUAAGUCGUAACAAAGUAGGUUUAUUGGAAAAUGAGCCUAGAAUGCAAAUUAGAGCUUGGUAAGCAUUUUAUUUACAUUAAAAAGUUAAUUGUGAAAUUCAAUUUAAUUUGAAUAUAAAAAUUUAUUUAAUUUAUAUAUUUAUUUUAUUUAAUAUAAAAAUUUAAAUUUUAAGUUAUAAAAAGAAAAAAUUUAAUUAUAGAUAAUUAGUAUUGUGAAAGAAUAUUUUAAAAUAUGAAAAAGAAAAUUUAAUUUAUUGUACCUUGUGUAUCAGGGUUUAUUAAUUUAAUUUUCUCGAAUUUUAAAGAGUUAAUUUUAUUGUAAAAUAAAUAUUUAAAAUAAUUAAUUAGUAAUGAAACGUUAGUCGUUUUAAAAUAUAUCUAGUUUUUUUAGAAAUAAAUUUAAUUUACAAUAUUUUUAAAUAUUUAUAUAAGGGAUUAGCUUUAAAAUAAAAAUUUAAAAAUUAAUUUAAUAUAAAAAGAAAUAGAAUUAGAAUUUUUCAUUUUUAAAAGGAUGUUAUAAUUAAAAAUUUUAAGUUUUUUAUAAAAAUAUUAAUUUAAAUUAUUAAAAUUAAGAAAUUAUGAUAAAAUUAGUAAAGUUAAUUUAAGGAAUUCGGCAAAUAACUUUUUUACCUGUUUAUUAAAAACAUGUCUUUUUGAAUAUAAUUUAAAGUCUGACCUGCCCAAUGAUUAAAUGGCCGCAGUAUUUUGACUGUGCAAAGGUAGCAUAAUCAUUAGUUUUUUAAUUGAAAGCUGGAAUGAAUGGUUUGAUAAAAAAAGUUCUGUCUCUAGAAUUUUAUUUUUAAGUUAAAAAGCUUAAAUUUUAUAAAAAGACGAGAAGACCCCAUAGAGUUUUUUUGUUGGGGUGACAUAAAAAUUUAAAAAACUUUUUAUUUAUAUGAAUAUUUGAUCCUAGAUUAUAAGAAAAAAUUACCUUGGGGAUAACAGCGUAAUUUUUUUUGAGAGUUCUUAUCG